GUUUUGGAUAGGUGUUAGGCUCAUUUUGUUGCAUUUCUACUGCUGUUGUCCGCAGUCUUCGCAAUUUGCGAAGACUUCUUCGCAAAUUCGAACAUCCCCCGUUUGGCCCUGUCAUCGCAAAUGCGAUAUUCCCUCAUGGAAGCCGUACUUCGCAAAUGCGAAGUCCAAUCUCGCAAAUAUGAGUUCCCCACUUCCUCUGCCUAGUUCGCAUUUGCGAACAUUAUCUCGCAAAUGCGAGUCCCCCCUUGUUCCUGCCCAAUUCGCAAUUGCGAACAUGUUUCUCGCAAUUGCGAGGUCCCUUUAUUUCUGCCCAGUUUCGCAAAUGCGAAGUUAAUAUCACAUUUGCGACAUCUGCACCUGUGCAACUGAUACUUAAGUGAGUUUAAACCUCACUUUUUAUAUUUUCAAAACCCAAAACCUCCAUAGGCGAUUUCUCUCGAGCCCUUUCGUCCCCAAACCAAAUGUAAGUCAAUUUUUACUGGUUUUCUUCAAUCUUUAUCAUCUUGUAACAUGAUUUCAUCAUUAAAUCAAAGCUUUCC
rnacentral:lncRNA from 1 species